GCCCUCUGCUGGACCCUGCGUUUCAGCACCACAUGUGUAGUCUAGUCUCCGUCGCUAAUCUUCCUUAGUAGGUAAACAUAAGCACUACCUUAGCGUUAAACGAAGGGGAUUGGGGUGAAGGUGAGGGUGAAGGAGAGGGCUUAGGUGGAAGGGCGGCCGGCAGUAGCCGCCGCCGCUGCGGGCGCGGGCGCGGGCGCGAGCGCGAGUCGCGGAGCAAGGGCGUGCAGGAGAAGCAGCCUUCUCGCUGCCGCCGCCAACGCCGGGCGCGGCUCGUGCUCGUCCCCACGAGCCGCCCGGCAGUCCCUCUCCGCCGCCGCGUCGCAGCAGUCGACUCGAGCUUGGACGGGUGGCAGACGUUUCCCCCUUAAAGCUAGGUAACUAAAACAUCUGGCUGGCUAGCUAGUUAGCUAAGAUGAGCACGCCUCCUUCUCUACCUGCCAGACAAGUCGAAGUCGUGGUAUUUCCUCAAGCACCCCAAACCCAAGUUCUAGUAGUCGCGCGACCUGUUCCGGUCGGUGUUGCGCCUCCUGACGGCGUGCUAGGUGCGGAAGGACGAGUUGGACUCGCGGUAGCGGCUAGCGGACGUCCCCGACGGGUUCUAGUACCACCUGCUGAACUACUCCCUGUGCCGCCUACCGGAUGUCUUCCGGGAGUUCGCGCGCAGGCUCAAAGAGCGGCUCACGUUCGCGUUCCCCCAGGACGCGGCACGAAAAUUGCGGUUUCUGUAGCGGCUCUUCGACGCGCCCCAGACGGAGCUACACGACGAGUUGUACUUGCGGCACGUCGAGUUGUACUUGCGGCACGUAGAACGGUUGCUACUGAACUUGUCGAGCUUCGACCGGCUCGAAUUCCUUUAACACCGGUUCUAAGACGUAUAACAACGAUGUGUCGGGCGACAAGUAGACGUUCUUCUCCACUUUUUUAACCACUUCCUGCUGGUCUAGUCAAGAGUUUAAUUUUUGUUUUCCCUCUGUUUCUUUUGUCUACAUGGAUCAAGAGUUUUGUUUUUGUUUCCCCUCCGUUUCCUUUGUCUACAACGGUCCGGCCUGCUAUUCUAAGUCUUAUUGUUCUUUGAUCCCGCAUCUUCCCACCACGGUGUACGAAGUAAUGGUCUACUGAAUCGACUCAGGCGAAGUCGCUGGUCACACCAACCUGUUCUCCUACCUGGAUCAUGAUAAUAAUAGUUAUUCCGUUCAUCGAGAUAGAGGCUCAGCCACCUGCUCCGUGUCAGUCACCCUCAAAGACGUCGUGGUAAGGUAGGCGUCUUUUAUUAGUCGUAUAGGUUCCUUGGGCUUCUCUGUCCGCCUAUAUUCUAUAUGUGGACAAGGAGACUCUGAUCGUUCGAAGAACUCCAGAUGGGCGUCACCGAAGAGAAGGGGAACCUCGGUUUUUUGUUCCUUUGAUGACCUAGACCUACGGGUCACUGGGAUUGGUUGUUAUGUUUGCUAAUGCAACCGUAGACCUAAUUUGGUUAUUUACCCUUUAAAUUCCUUUGUCUCUAUUACCUCGGGGUAAGCUGAAACCAACACAUACACUGUUACUUCUACGUACGUGUUGGAGGGUUUCUGUUCCAACUCAAACUCCACGAGUACUAAUAGGAUGCCAGUUUCGUUCUGGUACCUUUUAACUUCAGUAAGUAACAACUGUUCGACUUAUACCUGUCACCGAAAUACCACGUACAAUUCUUGGAAUUCCGUCUCCACAUAGCCCGUUACGACUGUCGAUAGUGAACACUGGGUCGUUCGACGGUCUAGUAUAGUUCUAGUUAUCUCCUAUGCUGGAACCACUGUAGGUAACUGCGCGUGGGGUGAUUCGGUACCUAACACUGCCCAGUACUCCCUCCCUUAAAAAGGUAAACCCUGAUGGUCUUCUUCCUUUGACACUACUUCAACGUCCAGUUACUCCACGGUCUGUUCCAAUGUGCGUACUAUGUACCGCAGUGAUUUAUGUAGUUUCUCUGCAGAGAACCUGUAGGCCAAAUAAGUCAGUUUAAAUGGCGACUUCCCUUUGCCAACCAUCACCCCCUACCAGCGCCUAUGUAGAUACAGAUACUAAGGUGGCUGUGAUUCGACGUACUCCAGCUCUUUAAGUCUCGAAUACUAUUCUUUAGGCACUUGAGAGACCGACGAGUGGGUUGUUUCGGUAUGGAAGAAGAAAGUAGUAGAAGAAAAUCAUCUUUAUAGUUCGAAACCCUGAGCUCGCUCUUGACCUUUAAAGUUUUAAAGUUUCACUUUGGACUCUUAUGUAUAAUGCAACCACACGUGUCACAGUUCAAAUUAGGUUCCCUGUGGUUGUGAAAACGAACACAAUGGCUACUCCUGUUUCAUUUCCAGACCUUGUAGUUUUGAAGGUAAGAACUUUGGUGUGACUUCCCCGGAAAGCAGUACCGGCUAAUAAAGAAGUUAGCGCCAGUAGUCGUGAACUACCAAUGAAACUUUAAACUGCGUGUGUUGAGGCUCUAUACCCUAAACUUCUGUGCUUUUCAACAAGUGUGAGAAUCGCACUCACCCGUGUUUUGCUGGACCCAACGAACGGUGGGUUUCGAAGGUUAUGACCAAUGUUACAAUCUACUGCCCUGACAUACAAACACCCUACGGUCAUGUAUGUCCGAACUCUUUUACCAAGUGUAAUGGUUGUCGUUCACAGCACUAAACCAUAAACAGGUUCUGUGUUUACCGGCUGGGUCCGAGCAAUAGCGUAAACUCUGUUACUAUCGUUAGUACUUUCAAUUAAACGGUUAACGCUUAUGUUCGUUACGUUCACCUACUUAUGUUCGUUCCGUUGCCUCCGGUAGUGCCUCUAACCCUAUUUCAUAAAUACAAAAACCCCUUAACUAUAAAGCAGAACAUUAAUUAGAACAUUUUUAUAACAAGACCUAUUCUUAUGAAAACACUCGUAACAUUAUAAAAAUAAUAUAAAAAGACUUAAAAUAAAAUAAACAAUACCUAAAAGAGUAAACUUGAGUUCAAACUUAUUAAGUUUGGAGUUAAAACUUAAGUUUUUAGAAACAUACCAAGUACAAACAAAAUCUUGGUAGAUAGAACACAUUCACAAAUACUCAGUUUCUGAUGAAUACAAUAACAAAUUUAAACUUACGGG
rnacentral:rRNA from 1 species